GACGAACGCUGGCGGCGUGCCUAAUACAUGCAAGUCGAACGCAGUGGGGACGGGUGAGUAACACGUGGGUAACCUCCCAUCAGAGGGGAUAACACUUGGAAACAGGUGCUAAACCGAUAUUGAAGGAUGGACCCGCGGUGCAUUAGCUAGUUGGUGAGGUAACGGAUCACCAAGGCCACGAUGCAUAGCUGACCUGAGUGGGUGACCCGGCACACUUUGACUGAGACAAGGCCCAGACUCCUACGGGAGGCAGCAGUAGGGAAUCUUCUGCAAUGGACGAAAGUCUGACCGAGCAACGCCGCGUGAGUGAAGAAGUUUUUCGGUUCGUAAAACUCUGUUGUUAGAGAAGCGGUAUCUACCCAGAAAGCCACGGCUAACUACGUGCCAGCAGCCGCGGUAAUUC
rnacentral:rRNA from 1 species